rnacentral:sRNA from 1 species
UCAAAUGAAUUGAUGAGCUCAUCAGGCUGC